AGAGUUUGAUCCUGGCUCAGAGCGAACGCUGGCGGCAGGCUUAACACAUGCAAGUCGAGCGCCCCGCAAGGGGAGCGGCAGACGGGAGAGUAACACGUGGGAACGUACCCUUCAGUUCGGAACAACCCAGGGAAACUUGGGCUAAUACCGGAUACGUCCGUAAGGAGAAAGAUUUAUCGCUGAAGGAUCGGCCCGCGUUCUGAUUAGCUUGUUGGUGAGGUAACGGCUCACCAAGGCGACGAUCAGUAGCUGGUCUGAGAGGAUGAUCAGCCUCACUGGGACUGAGACACGGCCCAGACUCCUACGGGAGGCAGCAGUGGGGAAUAUUGGACAAUGGGCGCAAGCCUGAUCCAGCCAUGCCGCGUGGAUGAUGAACGCCCUAGGGUUGUAUAGUCCUUUCGGCGGGGAAGAUAAUGACGGUACCCGCAGAAGACGC
rnacentral:rRNA from 1 species